rnacentral:hammerhead_ribozyme from 1 species
AUCCAGAUGACGAGUCCCAAUCUGGACGAAAUGCGCAUCCUGGAU